rnacentral:rRNA from 1 species
CCUACGGGAGGCAGCAGUGGGGAAUAUUGCACAAUGGAGGAAACUCUGAUGCAGCAACGCCGCGUGAAGGAAGACGGUUUUCGGAUUGUAAACUUCUGUUCUUGGUGAAGAAUAAUGACGGUAGCUAAGGAGCAAGCCACGGCUACAUCCGUGCCAGCACCCGCGGGAAUACGGAGGGGGGAAGCGUUGGCCGGAAUUCUUGGGUGUAAAGGGAGCGCAGGCGGGAAGCCAAGUCAGCUGUGAAAACUACGGGGUUAAAUUGUAGACUGCAUUUGAAACUGGUUUUCUUGAGUGAAGUAGAGGUUGGCGGAAUUCCGAGUGUAGCGGUGAAAUGCGUAGAUAUUCGGAGGAACACCAGUGGCGAAGGCGGCCAACUGGGCUUUAACUGACGCUGAGGCUCGAAAGUGUGGGGAGCAAACAGGAUUAGAUACCCUGGUAGUC